AGAAUCAACGCUGGCGGCGUGCCUAACACAUGCAAGUCGAACGCGAAAGGGGCGCAAGCCCUGAGUAGAGUGGCAAACGGGUGAGUAACACGUGGGUGACCUGCCUUCGAGUGGGGGAUAACGUUUCGAAAGGAACGCUAAUACCGCAUGACAUCCUGCGUUUGGAAACGCGGACAUCAAAGCUGGGGAUCGCAAGACCUGGCGCUCGGAGAGGGGCCCGCGGCUGAUUAGCUAGUUGGUGGGGUAAUGGCUCACCAAGGCGACGAUCAGUA
rnacentral:rRNA from 1 species